AAAAAAUUUAAAACUCACAUCACUCCUGUAAUUUUCUUCGCUCUUAGAUAUUGAUGCUUUAAAAUAGAACAUAUUAUUUUCCUAUUGUCACUUCUGUAAUUUUCAUUUCGUAAUUUUUUUCCCUUCUGUCACUCAUGUAACUUUUCAUCUUCAUGCAACAAAGUUUUUUUUCUUUAUAUUUUUUUGAAAUCCAACAUCUAUAUAUUUUUUAAUCUUAAAAGCGACAGUAUGAACAUAAUAUAUGUGUGCUUACUCUAAUUUGUGUUAAAUAUGAAAGUUUAGUUGAUCUCAUUAUAUGCUUAAAUAUUAAUGUCAUUUGUAAUUUUUCAUAUCAAUUUUAGUUAUCAUUUUAUUUAGCACAUCAAUAUAUAAAUGUUAGCCGUGCAUCGCACGGGUGAAAAUCUAGUUAGUUAAUAGAGCAGGAAUGAAUAUAUAUUUUUUAUUAUUCUAUAUUAUUAUAUUAGCCGUGCAUCGCACGGGUGAAAAUCUAGUUAGUUAAUAUGACAAUAUUUUUUUUUAAAAAAAUAGUAGUAUAUACUAAAUUUGUCAGCAUUCUAUAAAUAUUAAAUAUCUUAUUUACUUUUGUUACUUACCAAAUUAGAUAAUACCUAAUUUAUUAAGUAUCCAGCUCAAAAAAAUAUUGAAUUUAAAAUUAAUUUUUGAAGUUGGUAUUGUAAUGUAAAAUUUUCAUUUUGAAAUUUAUAUUAAACUUCUAAAUUUGAAUCUAAAAUAAACUUUUAAUCUUAAAGCGAAAUUUUAAUUUUUGAUUUAAAUUGAAAUUUUGAAUUGGAACUGAAAGUUUUAUUUGAAAUUUGUGUUUUAUAUUUAAAAAAUUAAUUUGAUUUAUAAUUAUGUUUUAAAUGUUGUUUUGAAUUUAAAUUUACAGUUUGAUUAUAAUUUAAAAUCCAACUAUUGUAGUAGGCAUUUGAGAAGGGGUAACGGUAUUAUUAGUUGGAUAAAAUUGAUUUUAUAGGCCAAACUAUUUUGUAAAGACCAAAAUACCCUUUAAAUGGGUCAUGGAGAACGGUAUCUAUGCCUCAAUAGUAGGUCACCUCUAGAAUCAUAUUAAAUCUAAACCAUCUAUUAAGAAAAAUAAUGGUUAAGAUUUAUAUGGUGUAUUAAAGCAUUACUCAUUAAU
rnacentral:lncRNA from 1 species